rnacentral:rRNA from 1 species
AUUGAACGCUGGCGGCAGGCCUAACACAUGCAAGUCGAGCGAGCGGCGGACGGGCGAGUAAUGCCUGGGAAUUGCCCAGUCGAGGGGGAUAACAGUUGGAAACGACUGCUAAUACCGCAUACGAUUUGAUUGCCCAGGUGGGAUUAGCUAGUUGGUUAGGUAAUGGCUCACCAAGGCGACGAUCCCUAGCUGGUCUGAGAUGAUGAUCAGCAACACUGGAACGGGGACACGGUCCAGACUCCUACGGGAGGAAGCGGUGGGGAAUAUUGCACAAUGGGGGAAACCCUGAUGCAGCCAUGCCGCGUGUGUGAAGAAGGCCUUCGGGUUGUAAAGCCCUUUCAGCGAGAAGGCGUUACUCACAGAGAAAGCACCGGCUAACUCCGUGCCAGCAGCCGCGGUAAUAC